GAUGAACGCUGGCGGCGUGCCUAAUACAUGCAAGUCGAGCGAACAGACGAGGAGCUUGCUCCUCUGACGUUAGCGGCGCACGGGUGAGUAACACGUGGAUACCCUCCCUAUCAGUCUGGGAUAACUUCGGGAAACCGGAGCUAAUACCGGAUAAUCUAUUGCACCGCAUGGUUCAAUGGAGAAAGACGGCUUUUCUGUCUCUUCUAGAUGGAUCUGCGCCGCAUUAGCUAGUUGGUAGGGUAACGGCUUACCAAGGCAACCAUGCGUAGCCGACCUGAGAGGCGGAUAGGCCACCCUGGAACGGAGACACGGACCAUACUCCUACGGGAGGCAGCAGUAGGGAAUGGUCCGCAGUAGGCGGAAGCCUGACGGAGCAACGCGGCGUGAGUGAUGGAGGUCUUCGGAUCGGAAAGCUCUGUUACUAGGGAAGAACAAAUGUGUAAGGAAAUAUGGACGUCUUGACGGUACCGGAUCAGAAAGCCACGGCUAACUACGUG
rnacentral:rRNA from 1 species